rnacentral:rRNA from 1 species
UACAGAGGUCCCAAGCGUUGUUCGGAUUCAUUGGGCGUAAAGGGUGCGUAGGCGGCGCGGUAGGUCGGGUGUGAAAUCUCGGAGCUUAACUCCGAAACUGCAUUCGAUACUGCCGUGCUUGAGGACUGGAGAGGAGACUGGAAUUUACGGUGUAGCGGUGAAAUGCGUAGAUAUCUGGAGGAACACCGGUGGCGAAGGCGGCGUCCUGGACCAAUACUGACACUGAGUGAGCGAAAGCCAGGGGAGCAAACGGG